rnacentral:rRNA from 1 species
CCUACGGGAGGCAGCAGUGGGGGAUAUUGCACAAUGGGGGGAACCCUGAUGCAGCGACGCCGCGUGGGUGAAGGAGUGCUUCGGCAUGUAAAGCCCUAUCGGCAGGGAAGAAGCAAGACGGUACCUGACUAAGAAGCCCCGGCUAACUACGUGCCAGCAGCCGCGGUAAUACGUAGGGGGCGAGCGUUAUCCGGAUUCACUGGGUGGAAAGGGUGCGUAGACGGCCAUGCAAGCCAGGGGUGAAAGCCCGGGGCCCAACCCCGGGCCUGCCCUUGGAACUGCAUGGCUGGAGUGCGGGAGGGGCAGGCGGAAUGCCUGGUGUAGCGGUGAAAUGCGUAGAUAUCAGGAGGAACACCGGCGGCGAAGGCGGCCUGCUGGACCGCGACUGACGUUGAGGCUCGAAAGCGUGGGGAGCGAACAGGAUUAGAUACCCUUGUAGUC